AGCCUUGUGGUGAUUCACGCUAGAAUGCAAAUCUAGAGAAGCACACUUACGUGUGCCAGGGCUU
rnacentral:tRNA from 1 species